rnacentral:rRNA from 1 species
AUACGUAGGUGGCAAGCGUUGUCCGGAAUUACUGGGCGUUAAAGGAUGCGUAGGCGGAUAUGUAAGUCAGAUGUGAAAUACCCGGGCUCAAACUUGGGUGCUGCAUUUGAAACUGCAUGUCUAGAGUGCGGGAGAGGAAAGUGGAAUUCCUAGUGUAGCGGUGAAAUGCGUAGAGAUUAGGAAGAACACCAGUGGCGAAGGCGACUUUCUGGACCGUAACUGACGCUGAGGCAUGAAAGCGUGGGUAGC